GAUGAACGCUGGCGGCGUGCUUAACACAUGCAAGUCGAACGAAGAUGCCGGAGUGCUUGCACUUUGGCAGACUGAGUGGCGGACGGGUGAGUAACGCGUGGGUAACCUGCCUUAUACAGGGGGAUAACAGUUGGAAACGACUGCUAAUACCGCAUAAGCGCACGGUAUCGCAUGAUACAGUGUGAAAAACUCCGGUGGUAUGAGAUGGACCCGCGUCUGAUUAGCUAGUUGGUGGGGUAACGGCCUACCAAGGCGACGAUCAGUAGCCGACCUGAGAGGGUGACCGGCCACAUUGGGACUGAGACACGGCCCAAACUCCUACGGGAGGCAGCAGUGGGGAAUAUUGCACAAUGGGGGAAACCCUGAUGCAGCAACGCCGCGUGAGUGAAGAAGUAUUUCGGUAUGUAAAGCUCUAUCAGCAGGGAAGAAAAUGACGGUACUUGACUAAGAAGCCCCGGCUAAAUACGUG
rnacentral:rRNA from 1 species